GUGCCAGCAGCCGCGGUAAUACGAAGGGGGCUAGCGUUGCUCGGAAUUACUGGGCGUAAAGGGAGCGUAGGCGGACAUUUAAGUCAGNGGGUGAAAUCCUGGGGCUCAACCUCGGAAUUGCCUUUGAUACUGGGUGUCUUGAGUAUGAGAGAGGUGUGUGGAACUCCGAGUGUAGAGGUGAAAUUCGUAGAUAUUCGGAAGAACACCAGUGGCGAAGGCGACACACUGGCUCAUUACUGACGCUGAGGCUCGAAAGCGUGGGGAGCAAACAGGAUUAGAUA
rnacentral:rRNA from 1 species